rnacentral:rRNA from 1 species
CUAAGAGCGAUAGGAGAAAUCCGUUAGAAGGCGCGCUCUUCACCGAGCGCCGUCUACCGAAAGGGAAGCGGUUUAAUAUUCCCGCACCAGGACGUGGAUGUCUGAGUGGCAACACAAGCAAAACCGGGGACGUCGGCAGGAGUUCCGGGAAGAGUUCUCUUUUCUUCUUACCAGCGCGCUAAACCCUGGAAUCGGAUUGCCCGGCGAUAGGGUGUAGUAGCUGGGAAAGCGUCGUACUCUUUGCGCCGUCCGGUGCGCUCUUGACGGCCCUUGAAAACCCGGUGGCGUGUAUUCGCACCCCUGGUCGUACUCAUAACCGCAUCAGGUCUCCAAGGUGUGCAGCCUCUGGUCAAUAGAAGAAUGUAGAUAAGGGAAGUCGUGAAAAUGGAUCCGUAUGCUAAGGAAUAGGAUUGGCUCUGAGGGUUGGUCCUAGGAGCCCCAGGGGCAGGGGACGGGUUUGCUAUCCCGCCUGCUGGUCUGGCAACCGACCGGCGGAAAUAUGGCCGGCGCAUCCCCCGGCGCAUUGGGUCAGGGUUCUGCUGUAUUCCUGGGUGAGAAAAACCCGCCUCAUAGCUGUAGAGGAGACGGGAAGAACCCCUGUGUUAUUAUAACACAAAGUUGUGAUGAGGCGUAGACGAUAUUGAUGACGCGAUGUGACUGCUGCCCGCUGUUAUGAUCAUCGUGGAGGAGAAAUCCCAGUCACGAGUGAACGGCGGGGGUAAUAUAUGAUGAUUCUAUAAUAGCAGAAAGAUGUCUUAUUCAUAUAAUAGAGGUAAAUAGGUAAUCC